GACGAACGCUGGCGGCGUGCUUAACACAUGCAAGUCGAACGAAGUGGCGAACGGGUGAGUAAUACGUGAGUAACCUGCACUACUUUUUGGGAUAAGCCUUGGAAACGGGGUCUAAUACCGCAUAAAGGGGGAUGGGCGCGCGGCCUAUCAGCUUGUUGGUGGGGUGAUGGCCUACCACGGCGGUGACGGUUAGCCGGCCUGCGAGGGUGAUCUGCCACAUUGGGACUGGGAUACGGCCCAGACUCCUACGGUAGGCAGCAGUGGGGGAGAUUGAGCAAUGUGCGAAAGCGUGAUGCAGCGACUCCGCGUGGGGGAUGAAGGCUUUCGGGUUGUAAACCUCUGUCGCUAUCGAACGGGUAGGUUGAGAAGAAGCGCCGGCUAACUACGUGCCAGCAGCCGCGGUAAUUC
rnacentral:rRNA from 1 species